rnacentral:rRNA from 1 species
UCGAACGGUAACAGGAAGCAGCUUGCUGCUUUGCUGACGAGUGGCGGACGGGUGAGUAAUGUCUGGGAAACUGCCUGAUGGAAGGGGAUAACUACUGGAAACGGUAGCUAAUACCGCAUAACGUCGCAAGACCAAAGAGGGGGACCUUCGGGCCUCUUGCCAUCGGAUGUGCCCAGAUGGGAUUAGCUAGUAGGUGGGGUAACGGCUCACCUAGGCGACGAUCCCUAGCUGGUCUGAGAGGAUGACCAGCCACACUGGAACUGAGACACGGUCCAGACUCCUACGGGAGGCAGCAGUGGGGAAUAUUGCACAAUGGGCGCAAGCCUGAUGCAGCCAUGCCGCGUGUAUGAAGAAGGCCUUCGGGUUGUAAAGUACUUUCAGCGGGGAGGAAGGUGCUGAGGUUAAUAACCUCAGCAAUUGACGUUACCCGCAGAAGAAGCACCGGCUAACUCCGUGCCAGCAGCCGCGGUAAUACGGAGGGUGCAAGCGUUAAUCGGAAUUACUGGGCGUAAAGCGCACGCAGGCGGUCUGUCAAGUCGGAUGUGAAAUCCCCGGGCUCAACCUGGGAACUGCAUUCGAAACUGGCAGGCUAGAGUCUUGUAGAGGGGGGUAGAAUUCCAGGUGUAGUGGUGAAAUGCGUAGAGAUCUGGAGGAAUACCGGUGGCGAAGGCGGCCCCCUGGACAAAGACUGACGC